ACUACGGGAGGCAGCAGUGGGGAAUAUUGCGCAAUGGGCGAAAGCCUGACGCAGCGACGCCGCGUGAGGGAUGAAGGUCUUCGGAUCGUAAAGCUCUGUCAGCGGGGAAGAAGGGUCACAGGGCUAAGCAGCAGUGAAUUGACGGUACCGGCAGAAGAAGCACCGGCUAACUCCGUGCCAGCAGCCGCGGUAAUACGGAGGGUGCGAGCGUUAAUCGGAAUUACUGGGCGGAAAGCGCUCGUAGGCGGUCUGUCAAGUCAAGGGUGAAAUCCCCGCGCUCAACCUGGUAACUGCCUUAGAAACUGGCAAACUGGAGUGUGUUAGAGGCUAGUGGCAUUCCAGGUGUAGCGGUGAAAUCCGUAGAUAUCUGGAGGAACAUCAGUGGCGAAGGCGACUCUCUGGACCAUAACUGACGCUGAGGUGCGAAAGCGUGGGUAGCAAACAGGAUUAGAUACCCGUGUAGUC
rnacentral:rRNA from 1 species